AAUUGGAGGGCAAGUCUGGUGCCAGCAGCCGCGGUAAUUCCAGCUCCAAUAGCGUAUAUUAAAGUUGUUGCAGUUAAAAAGCUCGUAGUUGAAUUUCGGGAUCAAUAUUUCGGUCAUGCCGUUGGUAUGCACUGUUAUCAUUGAUUUCUCACCUCCUAAAGAACCGUAAUGCCAUUAAUUUGGUGUUACGGGGAAUUAGGACUGUUACCUUGAAAAAAUUAGAGUGUUUAAAGCAGGCUCACGCUUGAAUACAUUAGCAUGGAAUAAUGAAAUAGGACAUCCGAUUCUAUUUUGUUGGUUUCUAGGAUCGAUGUAAUGAUUAAUAGGGAUAGUUGGGGGCAUUAGUAUUCAAUUGUCAGAGGUGAAAUUCUUGGAUUUAUUGAAGACUAACUACUGCGAAAGCAUUUGCCAAGGAUGUUUUCAUUAAUCAAGAACGAAAGUUAGGGGAUCGAAGACGAUCAGAUACCGUCGUAGUCUUAACCAUAAACUAUGCCGACUAGGGAUCGGAUGAUGUUAAUUUUUUAAUGACUCAUUCGGCGCCUUACGGGAAACCAAAGUGU
rnacentral:rRNA from 1 species